AAAAAAAAAAUAAUCCCUUAAUCUGGGCGCAGAUCAGGAUGCUGGAGAGGGGACAUGCAGUGGCUGCUGGAGAUGGCAACACUGGGCUGCAGAGAAGGCCUUUCUUCUGCAGAUCCGUGCUAAAUGUGGAAGUUUAUAGCUGGAAGCCAAAGAAACCUGCUCUAAGGAAGAGCGUGCCAGAGCCACCUCUAGCUGUUUCAAGCGUGCAACACAGGUGAAUCGCCUGCACAAGCUGGGGCAAGCUCCCCAGACACCAAGUGAACUAGCAUGAGAGGAAUAACACAAUUGCUCGUGAAAACUAGAAAAUCGUCACCAAGCAAUUAAUCCAGAUUAGGAACCCUCUGAAAAUAGAAUGAAACCCAUUGUCUCUUUAAACAAGGCACAUUGCACUCCAUUACAG